rnacentral:misc_RNA from 1 species
GUAUGCAGCCUCGGUGAAGCAGGAACCCACCGAAGCGACUCAUUGCGACUCGAUGUCGCAAUGAGCGCCGUAGGAAUCUCCGACCUUCAGGCCGGGGAGGAUGUCAAGAUCAUCAUC